rnacentral:tRNA from 1 species
CGGGUGAUUAGCUCAGCUGGGAGAGCACCUCCCUUACAAGGAGGGGGUCGGCGGUUCGAUUGCGCCGAACUCAACGA